UUUUAGUACGGAUAUAGAUUUCGGUGUCCAAUGUUUGAUCGUCUAUAUUAUUUAAAUUUUUUAUUAGUAUUUUUGUUGUUAUUAGAUGAUAAACAUGAAAAAAACUUUAUGUGUGACUUAUUUUUUAAAAAAAAAUUAUAAUUUUUUAAAUACAACAGACGGUCAAAAUGUAAACCCACAUCUACACUUCAA
rnacentral:pre_miRNA from 1 species